GACGAACGCUGGCGGCGUGCCUAAUACAUGCGAGUUGAGCGCUGAAGGUUGGUACUUGUACCAACUGGAUGAGCAGCGAACGGGUGAGUAACGCGUGGGGAAUCUGCCUUUGAGCGGGGGACAACAUUUGGAAACGAAUGCUAAUACCGCAUAAAAACUUUAAACACAAGUUUUAAGUUUGAAAGAUGCAAUUGCAUCACUCAAAGAUGAUCCCGCGUUGUAUUAGCUAGUUGGUGAGGUAAAGGCUCACCAAGGCGAUGAUACAUAGCCGACCUGAGAGGGUGAUCGGCCACAUUGGGACUGGGACACGGCCCAAACUCCUACGGGAGGCAGCAGUAGGGAAUCUUAGGAAAUGGACGAAAGUCUGACCGAGCAACGCCGCGUGAGUGAAGAAGGGUUUCGGAUCGUAAAACUCUGUUGGUAGAGAAGAACGGUUGUGAGAGUGGAAAGCUCAUCAAGUGACGGUAACUACCCAGAAAGGGACGGCUAACUACGUG
rnacentral:rRNA from 1 species